GUUCAGAGAACGCCCAGCGGGACCCACAGGAAAGCGGACACGGGCGCAGAGGGGCGCGUGUCUGCGGGGACCAGCGCAGCAAGUGUGAUGUGGGAAGCGCGGCGGAAACUUGGGCAGAGAACCUCGGCCUACACAUGUGCACAUAGUCAGUGCUUGGGAAGCAUCCUGCCUCGCCAGCUUCUCACACUCACCACACCCAGGUCAGUGCACCCAAAGCUCUGAGAAGGCCUGCAGCACAAGACACUGUGGUAGCACAUGCAUACAAUCCCAGCACAUAAAGGUCUGAGUGGGAAACUAGGUCCAGGCCUGCCUGGGCUUUACAGAGAGACCCCGUCUCACAAAACUGAAAAGAACAAAGAAAAACAACACCAAAACAAAGAUCCCAUUCAACCAGAAUUUUCUGACCAACACUACUAGAGACUGCCUAGCAGUGUGUCAGCAGCAGGCACCAAGAAGACCUGAGAGAAAAAAAAAAGCUUCCAAAUAAAAGCCUUGGACUGAAAGAGUACAGCCAGCAGAUACCACUCAACUGCCCGACACACUGCAGAAUAUCCUCUGUCCCUGCGUAAAGGAUCCAAAGGAUAUGGUUCUGACCUUUGCUCUGCUUGGGGAGGCUGCUGAGUAAGGCUGAGACUCUGCUCUGCUACCUGCAUGUUGGCUGUCCUGCUAAGGCUGACUCUGACCAUCUGUGCAGAGUUGACACCUCCCUUGACUUCAUGGAUGCUGCAAUACUAGAAGGCAACUUUUGCAGUCUUGAAGCCAGACCCUGCUGGGGAUCUAGGAACCAACCUUAGACUCAGACCAGUUAAUGGACAGAGUGGAGUUAGUGGAGGCUUCUGGAGAGUACGUGUCCCUGGGGCACAAACAGUGGUAAGAGUGAUCUCAGCUUGAGGCAGAGGAGCCAUCCAAAGAAUGUUGCCCCUGGAGGUGGGAAGUGACAAGGGAGGGGUAACAGUGGUGGGACAGGCCGUACAAGGACUUCCACUUAAAACCAAGGACACACUCUCCACAAGGAGUAAGUGCUCCAGGAUCACUGCACAGGGAGCACUCUGUUCUGCACUUUGCCCAGAGACAGGUGGCAGUGUGUGUAGGGUAAAAGGGCCAGCCAAAGAAACACACCCUGGUUCUGAGACCCGCACCAGUGAAAGAAAUGCUUUAGCCCCGAACCCAGACCCAAAGAAAUGCGCCCUGUCUCUGAAACCAGUGCCAAAAAACACUGUGUCCCUAGACUCAGAGGCUGUGAAAGAAAUAUGCCCUGGCCCCAAAACUAGAGCCAAAAACCUUAAAAGGCCAGUGAAAGAAACAAUUUGGCCCUGAAAUCAGCCAUUUCUGCCCCUGAUAAACUAACCAAUCCCUCCUCUCCCUGGAAAAACUCCACCCCUAAGAAGCCCUAUGUAAGUCCCUCUGCCUGUUCAGGUUCUGGCUGCUCUUCUUCCACCUUGGUAGAGGCAGCCACUCUCAUGGAUUCUUCCCUCCUAAUAAAUCUCUUGAACAAGG